GCUGGGCGCAGUGGUACACGCCUGUCAUCCCAGCAGCUUGGGAGGCUGAGGCAGGAGGAUCGUGAGUUCAAAGCCAGCCUCAGCAAAAGCAAGGCACUAAGCAACUCAGUGAGACCCUGUCUCUA
rnacentral:sRNA from 1 species